UGUAUAUGCCAAAUUUCGUGAAGAUAUCGCGGCAAAUAAAAAGUUUUUCAUACAAGAGCUUGAUUGGGAUCGCUCGGUUUGUAUGAUAGCUUUCAAAUUAUAUAACUGUUCUGAAUUGAUUUUUGGGUUAAUAUUGAAGCAAGCAAAUCAAAUGAAUCUCUUUAAAAAUGCAUUAUCUUCAAGAGGACAUGUAUGGCAUAUUGAUUAUAGAAAGCAAAUUAAAAAAGCAACUCAAUGAAAUGACGACAGAAAAAUAAUGCAACAACAAGAAGAAAAUAAAAAAGUUACAACGACAAAAACAACAACAACAACAACAACAAGUGACGCAGCAACAAAAAAUAUAAUAAAAAGCAGAAACAACAAUAACAAUAAUGCUGCGAAGCAGGCAAACCCAAAAACAACAGCAACAAUCAAAAUAAUAGCAAACCCAAAAACAACAACAAACAAUAAACAGCAUAUGCAACGUAAACCCAAGCUUUGACUGAGCUUUCAGCCAAUAUAAAACCAACAACAACGCUUAUCCAUCUAUAUACACAUACGCUGAGCCCAGUUCACCAGAUUUUAGGCGGUGGCUUCGGCGAUUUAGUAAGCCGAACAGCACGUGACUGGCUAAUUCAAAUCGUGUUGGGAGCGGGUGUGUAGAUAUUUUUGUAUGUGUAUGAAUUUUACUUUUUUUAAUAUACCAUGUAGAAAAUUAAGAGCCCAAAAAAGUAU